UUGGCUGUAAGACAUCAAUCUAUUUCAAAUAUUUACAAAUUCAGUCAUUGAAAUAAUACACAUAGACUAUUUUUAAAAUUGUUAAAAAGAAAUAAGACAAAUAGAUCUAUGUUUCUUAAAGUUAACAUUCAUCAGUAGAAGAUGCGCGAUGUAGCUCUAGAUAGUAACUAGACCAGGUUGACAGUAAGACAGGCAUUGAGUCGCAAAGCAGCGACGAACAAGUUUUGCAGGCAGCUUAUACUAAACUAACAGAAGACAUACAAAAAUAAAUCGAUGUUAACGAUGAAGAACCUGGCAACAAAUGUAAUGUCUCCACCAAAUAGGAUACAACCGAGAUGUCGGAAAUGUUUGACACUCCUGCGAUAUCAGGUGUAGGUCCGAAAUGAACAGCAAGACCAAAAGUUGCAUAAGUAGCGUAGCCGACUGGAGAGAAGUGAUACAGGAAUCCCACAGCGGUAAUGCUGUUUAAAAACAAGCAAAAUAUUUUUAAAAAUCAUAAAAAACAAAACAAAGAUUAUAUAAAGGGAAAUAACUCUGUCCUUAAAACUAUAUCUACCAAUAAUGUAAAAGUUAUUUCCUUUAUUCGAUAUCCUGUCCUUAAAACUAAUAAUGUACAAGUUAUUUCAUUUACUUGAUAUCAAACAAAAUAAUUAACUAUAUAUAUAUAUAUAUAUAUAUAUACCCAAUGACAAAUUUGGAAUUUUUAUUUAUUGAUUCAUGUUUUGUUAGGUACCAUAAAUAAUUGUUUAAAGUAUCAACUUGAUAGGAGAAUGCGUGAGGGAGAAAUAGCGUUAAUAAUGGUUUAAAGGACUAAACCCAACAAAUUUAGCCAUAUAUGUGAAUACUGAAGUAUUAGUUUCCCUUGUUGCUAUUUAAAAAAAAAUAAUAAAUUACCAGUAAUUAAAUGUCUAAUUGAUUACUUUUUUGUUUAUUGAUUCACGUUUGUCUAUGUCAAUAAAUGAUUGUGCGAAGUUGCAGCUUGAUUCGAGAAUGGGUGUGGGAGAAAUAACGUGUACACACUUUUACCAGACAGACAGAGCGAGUUGAUAUAAGCCUUGU